UAUACUGUGGAUACACUAGACAAAAGGAUGAUUUAUAUCCUGGGCAGAAUGGAGUAGGACAGUGAAAGAUUUCACCAACAUAUUCAGAACAGCAUGUAAUUUAAAACUUUUUUGAAGUUGGGAGAAGUGGCAAAACGUGAAAAGCAAGAAGCAAAUAUUACCAGAGACACCUAUGAAAAAGAAAUCUUUCUGAAGAACAUUUUUAAAGUGCCAUAAUCUGUUCGGUAAGAAUGAAAUUAAUGCACAAAACUGAAAAAAAUGGACUACCUGGAUGUAGUUUCUGAAAUGGCAGGUCAUGGCCCAUAGUGUUGGUGAGGCCAACACUAUAGGGGCAAGCACUUACUUCAUUUAAGAAGUUUAUCGAGAGCUUUAUAGAUAAAUUCUGUUCUCCAUCUACUAUGCAAAUAAAACUGCUGUAUGUCAUUAUGUGUGUAAUAAAUGUGAAUGCAG
rnacentral:lncRNA from 1 species